CUCACCGUUUCUCAUUGUUUCCCACAAUCACUUCCAGAAAUCACUCCCCAAAAUCGCUUCUAGAAAUUGCUUUUCAUCGUUUCUCAUUAAAGAGUUUAAGAAAUGCUUCUUCUUCUCAUCGCUUCAAGGGUUCGAUUGACAUUCUCUUCAUCAAAGAAAUCUAUUUUUAGUUCACAAUUUUCUCUUCUCUCGUAUUUGUACCUUUUAUUUCAUGAAAUAGUGGCUCGACCAACUUUGUGGUUGUUUGGUGAUCAAAAAGUUAGAGUGUUCUAUGCUGUGAGAUUUUUUGUUGGUUUUCUCUCGCUUUCCACGUAGACUGUUCUUGUGGUAGCUCUUUCGAGAAAGUAUGGAAAACGACUUGCUUCUUAUACACUUGCUAUGCCGUGCUUAACCAACGACUAUUUCUUUGCUAGCACAAGUUUCUUGUCAAGUUCGUUUCCCAUGUAUGCAAUCUCUCUUGCUUCGGGUUUAUUUCUUCUUGAUAAACAUGCUGCAGCAGUUGUUGUCUCUGCUAUUGGUGUGAUACAUGGCUGGCCAUUCUCAAUCUUGGCUUUCCUUCCGGUGACACUUCAUUCUUUAUA